GCCUGAAAAACGGCUACCACAUCCAAGGAAGGCAGCAGGCGCGUAAAUUACCCAAUCCUGAUGCAGGGAGGUAGUGACAAUAAAUAACAAUGCCGGGCCGUCAUUGGUCUGGCAAUUGGAAUGAGAACAAUUUAAAUCCCUUAUCGAGGAUCAAUUGGAGGGCAAGUCUGGUGCCAGCAGCCGCGGUAAUUCCAGCUCCAAUAGCGUAUAUUAAAGUUGUUGCAGUUAAAAAGCUCGUAGUUGGAUUUGUGGCGUACGGUGUGUUCCGGGCACUUGUUGUCUGAGUAACCUGCCGYUGCCAUCCUUGGGUGGAACCUGUGUGGCAUUAUGUUGUCCYGCACGGGAUGCCCCAUCAUUUACUGUGAAAAAAUUA
rnacentral:rRNA from 1 species